CUGUUUGUAAAAUUGAAAUUUCAAAUGUUGGUGGCACCUUCGUAACCCCAAACCCUUGAAUUCAUUACUAUUUCUCAUGUGAUACAGCAAAAAUAGUGAAAAAAUAACCAAAAUUUCUCCAAAAGGAUGGAUCGAACUUUAAGAUUUACCGUCUAACAAAUUAGUAUUAAAGAUCGAUUCAAUAUAUCUAACAAAUUAGGUGAGUCGCAGCUCCAAUCUUCUGUUGGUCGUAACCCUCUUAUUCAUGUCGCUCCAUCCACAACUAGGGUCAUCUUCGAUAAUAUUUCUUCCAACUAUUGACCAAUAGGAGAAAACAAGAUCUUUAGCUCAGAAGAAAAGGUUGAAUUCCUGUCAUUCAUAUGCAGAAGAGAAAAAGAAAAUGUUAAAAUCAAGUUUUGUUUGCUCAACCCUCCCUCUUGGUUUAUUUUUGGAAUGAAAAAGAAAGAAAUUUUUAUGUAUAUCAUUAAAUUAGAAAAGUUAGCAAAGGUUGUUUAAAAUUUGACUGUGUUCUUCCGUGUUUAAUGGGCGUCAUUUUAUUUUAUUUUUGUGCAGAGAGAGAGAGAGAGAGAGAGAGAGAGAGAGAGAGAGAGGGGCAGUAGGUUAAAAAAAGUGGUGAAAACAAGAGAUGAAAGAGUCAACGAAGAAUAGAAUAGAGUAAUAGGGUUUAGUAACCCUAGCCAUCUGCCUGGAACUGUAUAUACACUGAAUUUCAUGUUUCAAAGUUAAAAUCCAAAGCAAAAUUACAACUCAUUAAGGUCGAUUUUAACUAAUGAUGACUACAUUAUUGGAUAAUCUACUGUUUGAGUGGCUCAGAUCACCGCCGCCUGCAAAAAAUAUAUAUAACAUAUAGAUAGAGAGAGAGAGUAGGAGUGGGAGUGGGAGUGGGAGUCUUCACUCUUGAAAGAUGAAAAUUCACCCAUGAAAGACCACCAUUAACCCUAAUUACAGACAAACGCACAGAGGAGAGAGAUCUAGAGAGAAAGAAAGAGAGCGGUGAUGGAAAAAUAGUGGAUUUGAAACAGAAAAAGGAAAUUGGAGAAGCAAAUUAAAUGGAUUUGUGUAUGAUGAGUAAAUGAUUUGAGAGGAACGAAGCCUGGUCCGAAGCCUUCACGUCGUCAAUGUAAACAGCAAACUGUGAUUGCUUCGAGCCAGCCAACGUCCCCCUCAAACAUUCUUCUUCUUCCUCUUCUCUCUGCUUCUCCAGUGGUGGAUAUAUAUAUAUAUACUCUCACAGUCUCACUCACAUAUAUCUAUAUAUAUCUCCAUCCCCCACAAGAAAACUGCAGCCUGGGGGGAGGGGGGAUUUGCUCACACUCUCUGAUACUGAAAACCUAAGGCCGAAGGUGCUGAUUUAUAGGAGGGAGAAUGGGGGGAAUUGGGUGGUUAGGGGUAGAGUUACUUCAGUUUUUAGUCG
rnacentral:lncRNA from 1 species